CUACGGGUUGCUGCAGUCGAGAAUCUUCCACAAUGGGCGAAAGCCUGAUGGAGCAAUGCCGCGUGCGGGAUGACGGCCUUAGGGUUGUAAACCGCUGUCACCGGGGAUGAAUAUUGACAGUACCCGGAGAGGAAGCCACGGCUAACUACGUGCCAGCAGCCGCGGUAAUACGUAGGUGGCGAGCGUUGUUCGGAUUUAUUGGGCGUAAAGGGUUCGUAGGGGGUUUGUUAAGUUUGAUGUGAAAUCCCGGGGCUCAACCCCGGAACUGCAUUGAAAACUGACAGACUAGAGUACCGAGAGGAAAGCGGAAUUCCAGGUGUAGCGGUGGAAUGCGUAGAUAUCUGGAAGAACACCGACAGCGAAGGCAGCUUUCUGGACGGUUACUGACCCUGAGGGACGAAAGCGUGGGUAGCGAACAGGAUUAGAUACCCUGGUAGUC
rnacentral:rRNA from 1 species